GGACCCUACUGCUAUCGGGGUGGGAAUUAAGACAUGCGAGUCGAGCGUCUCUAGCUAUGGUGAGACGCGGCAGACGGCUCAGUAACACGUGGCUAACCUACCCUCAGGACAGGGACAAACCCGGGAAACUGGGGCUAAUACCCGAUAGGCGAGGGCGCCUGGAAUGGUUCUUCACCCAAAGGGCUUUGGAAGCAUGCUUUUCAAAGUCGCCUGGGGAUGGGGCCGCGUCCGAUCAGGUUGUUGGUGAGGUAACGGCUCACCAAGCCUAUAACCGGUACGGGCCGUGAGAGCGGUAGCCCGGAGAUGGGCACUGAGACAAGGGCCCAGGCCCUACGGGGCGCAGCAGUCGCGAAAACUCCGCAAUGCACGAAAGUGUGACGGGGCUACCCCGAGUGCCGUCCGCUGAGGAUGGCUUUUCCCCGGUGUAACUAGCCGGGGGAAUAAGGAGAGGGCAAGACUGGUGUCAGCCGCCGCGGUAAUACCAGCUCUCCGAGUGGUAGGGAUGAUUAUUGGGCUUAAAGCGUCCGUAGCCGGCUUAGCAAGUCUCCUGUUAAAUUCAGCGACCUAAUCGUUGAGCCGCGGGAGAUACUACUAGGCUAGGAGGCGGGAGAGGCCGACGGUACUUCCGGGGUAGGGGUGAAAUCCUAUAAUCCCGGGCGGACCACCAGUGGCGAAGGCUGUCGGCUAGAACGCGCUCGACGGUGAGGGACGAAAGCUGGGGGAGCGAACCGGAUUAGAUACCCGGGUAGUCCCAGCCGUAAACGAUGCGGGCUAGGCGUUGGGGUGGCCACGAGCCACUUCAGUGCCGCAUGGAAGCAAUUAAGCCCGCCGCCUGGGGAGUACGGCCGCAAGGCUGAAACUUAA
rnacentral:rRNA from 1 species